GAAACUGUUGAAGCUGAUUCAUACUGAUAUUGCAGCUUGAUAUGCUACAAGAAGAGAAUGAGAAUAUAUUAGAAAAGCUAAGACAAGCAGAGGAAAAACGCCAAGAAGUUGAGGCCAGAGCUAGGGAACUUGAGAAACAGGUUGCUUCUCUUGGAGAAGGUGUAUCCCUGGAAGCUAAACUGCUGAGCAGGAAAGAAGCUGCUUUGCGUCAAAGAGAGGUACACCGAAACAACAGGAUAUUAAUGUGGCAG